GUUUCGCCCGGUCGUCGUCGGGCCCGUUCGGAAGGAGCGCUUUUAUAGAUCAAAACCGGCCAAGCGCCCGGGAUUGCGUUUCGCGCGCACAUUCGGACGUAAGUUGCCCGCGCAAAGACUUGACGACUCUGAAUAACUUCGAGCUGAUCGCACGGUCCUAGUACCGGCGACGUAUCUUUCAAAUGUCUGCCUUAUCAACUGUCGACGGUAGGUUCUACGCCUACCGUGGUGGUAACGGGUAACGGGGAAUCAGGGUUCGAUUCCGGAGAGGGAGCCUGAGAAACGGCUACCACAUCCAAGGAAGGCAGCAGGCACGAAAAUUAUCCAUUCAGGACUCCUGGAGAUAGUGACGAAAAAUAACGAUACGGGACUCAUCCGAGGCCCCGUAAUCGGAAUGAGUACACUUUAAAACCUUGGUCACACGAGGAUCAAUUGGAGGGCAAG
rnacentral:rRNA from 1 species